AGCAACCGCGGUAAUUCCAGCUCCAAUAGCGUAUAUUAAAGUUGUUGCAGUUAAAAAGCUCGUAGUUGAAUUUCGGGGUUAGUAAGUUGGUCAUGCCUUCGGUAUGUACUGGCUUUACUGAUUCCUCCUUCUUGACGAACCGUGAUGUCAUUAAUUUGGUGUUGCGGGAAAUCAGGACUGUUACUUUGAAAAAAUUAGAGUGUUUAAAGCAGGCUAACGCUUGAAUACAUUAGCAUGGAAUAAUGAAAUAGGACGUUAAUCCUAUUUUGUUGGUUUCUAGGAUCGACGUAAUGAUUAAUAGGGAUAGUUGGGGGCAUUAGUAUUCAAUUUGUUCAGAGGUGAAAUUCUUGGAUUUAUUGAAGACUAACUACUGCGAAAGCAUUUGCCAAGGAUGUUUUCAUUAAUCAAGAACGAAAGUUAGGGGAUCGAAGACGAUCAGAUACCGUCGUAGUCUUAACCAUAAACUAUGCCGACUAGGGAUCGGAUGAUGUUAUUUUUAAUGACUCA
rnacentral:rRNA from 1 species